rnacentral:rRNA from 1 species
GUAAGGCUGAGCUGUGAUGGGGAGUGAAAAUUACAGUAGCGAAGGUCAUGAUCUCACACUGCCAAGAAAAGCCUCUAGCCAGGUGAUGGUGCCCGUACCGCAAACCGACACAGGUAGGCGAGAAGAGUAUUCUAAGGCGCGCGGAAGAACUCUCGUUAAGGAACUCGGCAAAAUGACCCCGUAACUUCGGGAGAAGGGGUGCCCCGGUAGUGUGAAUAGCACGAGGGGGCCGCAGUGAAAAGGCCCAAGCGACUGUUUAGCAAAAACACAGGUCUGUGCGAAGCCGUAAGGCGAAGUAUACGGGCUGACGCCUGCCCGGUGCUGGAAGGUUAAGGGGAGUGGUUAGGGAGCAAUCCCGAAGCUGUGAACCGAAGCCCCAGUAAACGGCGGCCGUAACUAUAACGGUCCUAAGGUAGCGAAAUUCCUUGUCAGGUAAAUUCUGACCCGCACGAAUGGCGUAACGACUUGGGCGCUGUCUCAACGAGAGAUCCGGUGAAAUUUUAAUACCUGUGAAGAUGCAGGUUACCCGCGACAAGACGGAAAGACCCCAUGGAGCUUUACUGCAGCUUGAUAUUGAAUUUGGGUACGAUCUGUACAGGAUAGGUGGGAGCCUUUGAAG